AAGCCUUAAACCUAUGAGUAAGGAGUGAUGACCAGAUGCUCACUGCUAAUGUGAGAUGAACUUUUGAGCAGAUAAAGGUUGCCCCUAAGGUGACCCUCCUACUUUGUGGGAUGCCUAGGUACUGCAAUCUGCAUA
ensembl:snRNA U12 U12 minor spliceosomal RNA